rnacentral:lncRNA from 1 species
GCCCGUUUGGUUCGAGUUAUGUAAUAUUACAAAGUAUCUCGACAUAUCCAGGUAUCUUGGAUUUCGGCGUGAGAUUACUACUAAUGCUGCAUUAGAGCGUUUGGUUUAAUACAGUAAUGUAAUACUAGAUUACAGUGUUUAUAGGAUUAAUAUGUUUGGUUCAGUUUAUAAAAUUUAGUAAUCCUGACAUAAAAGUAUAGUUUUUUCCAAAAUUGCCCUUGGUCAUUUGAAUAUUAUUUUUUGUGGAAAUGACGAAUGGAUGGAAGGAGAUCGUGAUGAUUACUUGGGAGGACGACGCAAUAGAAGAUGAUAGGUGUUCGUGCGAGAGAGAGAGAGAGAGAGAGAGAAAGCGAGAGAAAGCGGCAUGCGAGAGAGAGGGCCGGGGGAAGGCGAGAGAGAGAUGAAAAUAAUACCGUUAAUUAGAUUUGGGAUUGUUGGAGGGUAAAAUUGUCAUUUUACAUAAUAUGUAGUAUUAACGGGUUUCAGUAAUGUAAGAUACACGACCCCCCUCCCGUUAAUAUUUUCGAUGUAAUUCUGCUCGAUUUGUAAUCCUACAUUAACGAUUAGAUUACAUAGCGGAUUAACCAAACAUAGUUAUCCUGCCAGGAUUGCCUGUAAUCCUGCCAGGAUAACUCGAACCAAACGCACCCUUAAGGUAAAAAGUUUGGCCAAAUCUAAGUAUCUAUAUCUAUAUCCCCACAUGAAUUGGAAACCCAAAAGUGCGCAUGGCAGCCGCCUGCUCACUCCGGGGCCCAACUUUUCUCUCUCUCUCACACACACCCUACAAGCUUUUCUUUUCUUUUCUUUUCUUUUUUUCAAUUUCUUUUUUGUUUGUGCCUAUACUAUAUCAAUUCUAUUUUUUAAUAAUUAAUAUAAUAAAAUUAAAAUUUUAUACAGUAUAAAAAAAAUUAUACACCAAGUGUAUAAUACAUAUGUUCAUAUAUAAUUUAUAAUUAAUAAAAAAUAUAAACUUCAAAUAUCACUCAUGUGUUUUCACACUUUCUCACUUUUGUACUCUAUAUUUUAAAGUGUAUUAAAUUAGUAUCAUGUGCUUUCAUUUUUUUUUUCGUUAGCUCCUUUGUUAAUAUUUCGUUAAUAUGUAUUAGAAUUGAUCGAGUUUGAAUAUAAUUGCAGUUUGACUUAGGGUCAAAAUGAUUUGUUCUAAAGAUCAGUGCAGAGAAGAGGUUGGAUUGAUAUAGCCCCAUGAUCAUGACUUAGGAAAAAUGUUUGAUUUGGAUUUGGGUCACGUUCUAUAUGGUUUGAACUGGGUUAGAUUGGAAUUUUGAUUUUGAUUGAUAUGAUUUGGGCUAGAGAUAGCAUAUAGUAUGGAGUUUGAGAUUAGGCUUUUUAAUUGGGUUUUGGUUAUCCAGCAUUAUGGAUUUGGUUUGAGGUUGAUGGAUUGGUUUAAGUUCAGGAUUGGAUUUGGUUUUAGUUAUCAUCAUUUGGAGUUCUUGUCUGGGUUAGAUUUUGAUUAAUAUAGUUUUGG